AGCAGCCGCGGUAAUUCCAGCUCCAAUAGCGUAUAUUAAAGUUGUUGCAGUUAAAAAGCUCGUAGUUGAAUUUCGGGGUUAGUAGGUUGGUCAUGCCUCUGGUAUGUACUGGUCUCACUGAUUCCUCCUUCCUGAUGAGCCGUAAUGCCAUUAAUUUGGUGUUGCGGGGAAUUUGGACUGUUACUUUGAAAAAUUAGAGUGUUUAAAGCAAGCUAACGCUUGAAUACAUUAGCAUGGAAUAAUGAAAUAGGACGUUCGAUCCUAUUUUGUUGGUUUCUAGGAUUGACGUAAUGAUUAAUAGGGAUAGUUGGGGCAUUAGUAUUCAAUUGUCAGAGGUGAAAUUCUUGGAUUUAUUGAAGACUAACUACUGCGAAAGCAUUUGCCAAGGAUGUUUUCAUUAAUCAAGACGAAAGUUAGGGAUCGAAGACGAUCAGAUACCGU
rnacentral:rRNA from 1 species